CCUACGGGCGGCAGCAGUAGGGAAUCUUCGUCAAUGGGCGCAAGCCUGAACGAGCAAUGCCGCGUGAACGAGGAAGGUCUUCGGAUCGUAAAGUUCUGUUGAAGGGGAAAAAGAGCGGAGAGAGGAAAUGAACUCCGAUUGAUAUUACCCUUCGAGGAAGUCACGGCUAACUACGUGCCAGCAGCCGCGGUAAUACGUAGGUGGCGAGCGUUAUCCGGAAUGAUUGGGCGAAAGGGGUGCGUAGGCGGCCUGCUAAGUCUGGAGUGAAAGGUACCGGCUCAACCGGUACAGGCUCUGGAAACUGGCGGGCUAGAGAGCAGGAGAGGGCGGUGGAACUCCAUGUGUAGCGGUAAAAUGCGUAGAUAUAUGGAAGAACACCAGUGGCGAAGGCGGCCGCCUGGCCUGUUACUGACGCUGAGGCACGAAAGCGUGGGGAGCAAAUAGGAUUAGAUACCCGAGUAGUC
rnacentral:rRNA from 1 species